rnacentral:tRNA from 5 species
UGGGGAUUAGCCAAGCGGUAAGGCAACGGACUUUGACUCCGUCACCCAUAGGUUCGAAUCCUAUAUCCCCAGCCA